GACGGAGGAUGCAAGUGUUAUCCGGAAUCACUGGGCGUAAAGCGUCUGUAGGUGGUUUAAAAAGUCCACUGUUAAAAAUUGAAGCUUAACUUCAAAGAUGCCGUGGAAACUUUUAAACUUGAGUAUGGUAGGGGUAGAGGGAAUUUCCAGUGGAGCGGUGAAAUGCGUAGAUAUUGGAAAGACCACCAAUGGCGAAGGCACUCUACUGGGCCAUUACUGACGCUGAGAGACGAAAGCUAGGGGAGCAAAUGGG
rnacentral:rRNA from 1 species